GCCGGAGUGGUGAAACUGGUAGACGCACUGGACUCAAAAUCCAGCGGGCCUCGCGCCCGUGUCGGUUCGAUUCCGACCUCCGGCACCA
rnacentral:tRNA from 1 species